GAGAGUAUAGCUCAGUGGUAUAGACUGUGUUUAGCAUGCACGAGGUCCUGGAUUCAAUACCCAGUACCUUCA
rnacentral:tRNA from 1 species